AAAUAAAGGGGAAUUCCAUGGGCUGAUAGACUCUUCUAUAUGUUGAGCCUCAAGCUGCUCUUGUAUGAGUUGUUCAAGUGCCUGUAAUUUUCUUUUGUUAUACUGCUCUUGCCACAAAGGCUGGUUUGAUAACUAUUUUAGUGGCAAGGCUGUUGGUAUGUUAGCAGUGGCCCUUUUUGUAAAUUUGGGAACUCAGUCCCUGUGCUGUCCUGUUUUGGGAAAAUGGGCACAGCUUAUGGUUGCUCUCAAUCACCUGUAUCAAUACCUUUCCCAGAGCUUCUACCACAUAAUUCCUAAUUUCCUCAUCUUCUGUCCCUUGAAUGCUGGAAUAUUAAUUGUCAGCCACAUAAGGUCUCAACUUCCCUGUUUGCCCUUCUGGUCCCACACAGGUAAUAUAUCAGACACUUUUUCUUAUUCAUAAUAAUUUGCCAAUUCCUAUAAAUUGUGUGCUAACCUUCUGAAGUGGCCAAUCUGGAUUCCAAGACUUUUGGGAAAGUAUAUGUACUGGCUGGUUUUGUGUGACAACUUGACACAGGCUGGAGUUAUCACAGAUAAAGGAUCUUCAGUUGGGGAAGUGCUUCCAUGAGAUCCAGCUGUGGGGCAUUUUCUCAAUUAGUGAUCAAGUGGGGAGAGCCCCUUGUGGGUGGUGCCAUCCCUGGGCUGGUAGUCUUGGGUUAUAUAAGAGAGCAGGCUGAGCAAGCCAGGGGAAGCAAGCCAGUAAGAAACAUCCCUCCAUGGCCUCUGCAUCAGUUCCUGCUUCCUGACCUCCUUGAGUUCCAGUCCUGACUUCCUUAAGUGAUGAACAGCAAUGUGGAAAUGCAAGCUGAAUAAACCCUUUCUUCCUCAACUUGCUUCUUGGUCAUGAUGUUUUGUGCAGGAAUAGAAACCCUGACUAAGACAGUAUACUAACAUCAGUUCCUGUGUUUACCAUUUCUUCUAUGUCCACACCAUUCAUUUGUACCAUUGACCUGGGUCUCUAACCAUUAACCACUGUUUGCCAGAACACACAUUUUCCAGUACUCCCAAAAGCCCCUGUUCUUUCUACUGGAGCAGCCUUGACCUUGAUGUAAGGAAACAACAACAGUUCAACAAUUCUACCCCUGCAAAAAUUUGCAUUUUCUUUUUCACAUAUGUCCCAAUUUUAGUUUCUUCCUUGCUAUUCCUAUCUAAUAUAUCUGGAUGCACAGUAAAUCCUUGAGAAGUUAAUCUACUUCUCCACAAGAUUAUUCCUACUGUCUCUUUAGGUAAAGGGCCACACACACCAGUGGUUAACUUAAAACAUUCAACUUUUGGGAAUAAUGUAAGAGGGGUAUCUGUGGUCAAGUCCAAAGCUGCACUUCCUUCUAUUAGGUACCACUUGUAGGCUUAGAUUUUUCAAAAUGUUCUUUAAUAAGGAUUAUUAACUGUUUCAAAUUUCCUUAUUGUCUACAGAGCAACUAUAGAGGAGAAAGAUGGUUAAUAGGACAAGGGGGAUGUGAUGGUUUGUAUAUGCUUGGUCCAGGGAGUGGCACCGUUGGAAGGUGAGGCCUUGUUAAAGUAGGUGUGGCCUUGUGGGUGUGGGCUUUAAUACUCUUGUCCUAGCUAUCUAACAAGUAUUCUGCAAACAGCCUUCAGAUGAAGACAUAGAACUCUCAGCUCCUGCCUGCACUAUGCCUGCCUGGAUGUUGCCAUGUACCCACCUUGAUAAUGGACUGACACUCUGAACCUGUAAGCCAACCCCAAUUAAAUGUCCUUAUAGGAGCUGUUUUGGACAUGGUGUCUGUUCACAGCAGUAAAACCCUUACUAAGACAUGGGAUAUGAACCUGUUUAGAAGUAGUUCUUUGGAGUGAUUCUAAUCUUUUUUUUUCCAGGAUAUCAGCAUUCCAAUCCAAAUCAGUAGUGGCAGUCCCUUCCAAUCAUCAAAUAUCAAGCACAAAUCAGUAGCAGCUGCUCAGUCCAGAAGGAAUCAUGAGACUCCAUCAAACUGGCAUGAGUCUGAAGAAGAAGCAAAAAGCAGACAGAAUAUCAUGAGAAGUAUUCUGGCAUGUUUCUCUCUAUGAAGACACAACAAGUGAUGAUCAGAAAAGGCCACCAAAACAUUACAAGGCAUACCAAUGCGAAAGUGUUGUUAGGGAAGACCAGUGAUGCAUUAUAAAGUGAACCAAUGCAAGAUUGUCAUUCAUUGUUGGGUUCUACUUAUACUCUUUCUAAACAUUACAUGU
rnacentral:lncRNA from 1 species